rnacentral:misc_RNA from 1 species
GAGAAAAUUCACAACCAAUCAUGUGGAGACGCCUUUCAGAAGAUGAAGAUUCAGUUGAGCUGCCUUUAUUUGAUUUCCAUAGCAUAUUACUUGCAACCAACAACUUUGACAAAGAGAACAAACUCGGGCAAGGAGGCUAUGGUCCAGUUUUUAAGGGAACGCUACAAGAUGGAAAGGAUGUGGCGAUUAAAAGACUUUCUAGUAGC